GGAAAAUAUUCGGAAAUUUACCUUUAUACAUACCUAAUUCUUAAGACCUAAAAACGUUCCGUAGGUGAACCUGCGGAAGGAUCAUUA
rnacentral:rRNA from 1 species